rnacentral:tRNA from 1 species
GAGGGUGUAGCUCAGUGGUAGAAUUCCUGUUUAGCAUGCAUGAAGUCCUGGGUUCAAUUCCCAGUACCUCCA